rnacentral:rRNA from 1 species
UGAGAUGGGCUCGCGUCUGAUUAGCUGGUUGGUGGGGUAAAGGCCUACCAAGGCGACGAUCAGUAGCCGGACUGAGAGGUUGAACGGCCACAUUGGGACUGAGACACGGCCCAGACUCCUACGGGAGGCAGCAGUGGGGGAUAUUGCACAAUGGGGGAAACCCUGAUGCAGCAACGCCGCGUGAAGGAAGACGGUUUUCGGAUUGUAAACUUCUGUUCUUAGUGACGAUAAUGACGGUAGCUAAGGAGAAAGCUCCGGCUAACUAC